GUGCCAGCAGCCGCGGUAAUACAGAGGGUGCAAGCGUUGUCCGGAAUCACUGGGCGUAAAGGGCGCGUAGGCGGCCUGAUAAGUCGGGGGUGAAAUUCUGCGGCUUAACCGCAGGACGGCCUUCGAGACUGUCGGGCUUGAGCACGGUAGAGGCUGGUGGAAUUCCCGGUGUAGCGGUGGAAUGCGUAGAGAUCGGGAAGAACAUCGGUGGCGAAGGCGGCCAGCUGGGCCGUUGCUGACGCUGAGGCGCGACAGCGUGGGGAGCAAACAGGAUUAGAUACCCUGGUAGUCCACGCCGUAAACGAUGGGUACUAGGCGUCGGGGGGAGCGACCCCUUCGGUGCCGUCGCUAACGCAGUAAGUACCCCGCCUGGGGAGUACGGCCGCAAGGCUGAA
rnacentral:rRNA from 1 species